rnacentral:rRNA from 1 species
UACGGGGGGAGCAAGCGUUGUUCGGAUUUACUGGGCGUAAAGGGCGCGUAGGCGGCCACCGCAAGUCGGUUGUGAAAUCUCCGGGCUUGACCCGGAAAGGUCAAUCGAUACUGCGGGGCUAGAGUGCAGAAGGGGCAACUGGAAUUCUCGGUGUAGCGGUGAAAUGCGUAGAUAUCGAGAGGAACACCUGCGGCGAAGGCGGGUUGCUGGGCUGACACUGACGCUGAAGCGCGAAAGCUAGGGGAGCGAACGGG